rnacentral:rRNA from 1 species
UUGGACCUGAUAUCAGGCAAGAUUACCCGUUGUUCUUGA